AAGGAUUUAAGUUAACCAAACUAAUAGCCUUCAAAGCUGUAAAUAAAGACUACUGCUUUAAGCCUUA
rnacentral:tRNA from 1 species